rnacentral:tRNA from 1 species
CCCACGUUAAGGGGUAGCACAUCAUUCGUAAUGAUGGGGUCAGGUGUUCGAGUCACCUAAGCGGCACCA